CCCUCUUUUCCUCUGGCCCUGUGGUUUCCUCUGAAUCUUCUUUCACUUUCUUCUUCUGCUUUUCCCCCUCCUCUCUGGCCUCCCCUGUCCCACACCCACCUCCUUCCCAAAUGCUCAGGUCACGGAUGAAGAGACCCAAGAACAAGGAGAUCCCUGCCCGGAGCAGAGCAAAUGCACACUUAGGCAUCAUGAGCCCAUUAGGAUUCCACUGAAGGGUUCUCCAGCAUCUCUCGGAUCAGGGGGGGCAUCGGGCCUGGAAUCUCCAUCUUCAGGGUAAUGGCCCUUUCUGCUCCUAUGAAGAGAGACAAAGAAGCUUGGAAGAGCAGAAGCACAUGGGUAGAAACCCUGCCCCAAACUUCCCUGAUUGGACUUCCCUGUGACUCCCAAGCGCUCCUGGGCCAGAUGCCACAUUCUCAGUACCUAGUUUACCUUCUCCUUUCUGGUGGUUCCUAGGUGUCCUCACCCUAACUGAACAUUGCCCAGCCUGAUGACUAUGUGUCUCAUUAUUCCAGGCUUUCUCUUUCUUUGCUCCUUUUUUAGAGACAGGAUCUUAUAUGUAGUUCUAGCUAUCUUGGAAAUCCUUGUCAGUCUUGGCUAUUUUGCUCUGGCUGGCCUUGAACUUGAAGCAAUCCUCUUGCCCCUGCCUCCUGUGUGCUGGAAUUACAGGCAUGUACCACA